AUUGAACGCUGGCGGCAGGCCUAACACAUGCAAGUCGAACGAGUGGCGGACGGGUGAGUAAUGUAUGGGAAACUGACUGGUGGAUGGGGAUAAGUACUGGACACGAUAGCUGCAACCGCAUAGCAUCGGAUGGGCCGAGAUAGGAUUAGCUAGGAGGUGGGGUAAAGGCUCACCAAGGCGAGGAUCCGUAGCUGGUCUGAGAGGAUGACCAGCCACACUGGAACUGAGACACGGUCCAGACUCCUACGUGAGGCAGCAGUGGGGAAUAUUGGACAAUGGGCGAAAGCCUGAUGCAGCCAUGCCGCGUGUAUGAAGAAGGCCUUCGGGUUGUAAAGUACUUUCAGCUGGGAGGCGUUACCAGCAGAAGAAGCACCGGCUAACUCCGUGCCAGCAGCCGCGGUAAUUC
rnacentral:rRNA from 1 species